UACGUAGGGGGCAAGCGUUGUCCGGAAUCAUUGGGCGUAAAGAGCGUGUAGGCGGCCAGAUAAGUCCGCUGUGAAAUCUCGAGGCUCAACUUCGAGCUGUCGGUGGAAACUGUCUGGCUAGAGUCCGGAAGAGGAGAAUGGAAUUCCUGGUGUAGCGGUGAAAUGCGCAGAUAUCAGGAAGAACACCCGUGGCGAAGGCGGUUCUCUGGGACG
rnacentral:rRNA from 1 species